UCUGGCUCUCCAAUUAGCAGGCCUGGUAUGGAAUGUUCGCUGUGAGUUGGAGUUCUCCUGGACUCUGGACAUCUGCCUUCCUGAGUCUCUGCCUUUGACUUUCCCUUUGGGACUCAUGCCAUGAAGGUCACUGUUUCCUGUUCCAAAUAUUCCUUUUAGUUUCUGUUUUGUGAGAACUCUGUAUAAAGCUUUUUCCCUUGACCAUUUGUCCUCCCAGGCCUGAGACUGCUUCUGAAGUCGAGAGAAUUUAAUAAACCCGGGAUUCCUUCCUGGGAACUGGGUACUUGUCAUCGAAGAGUAGACUGUCUUGGAGAAGCUUGUGGCACCAGGAUUUGAGAUCGGCAGAGUGUUGUUUCUUAUGCAUCCUAAUAAAACCCACGAUGUCUGAAAAUGACUACAUAUCAAGGAUGUACUACAUUUCAAACAUGUUGACCAUGGAAAAACCUUUCAUCGGCGUUUAAAAAUUACAUAAAAUUUACAUAAACAUGAACUCGAGACAGGGAUGCUUACACCAGUCUAAAUAAGAAUGUGUCACCGUUUCUAGGCACAGCGUGGAGGUUGACUAUUACGUGGCAGGUCUGGUGCUGGGGAUGGGGAGCUGAAGCAGUAAACAGGUAACGGCCGCAGAAUUACCAGUGCUGGGCGAGUGGUGCAGGAGGCUGAAGCACAAAGUGAUUACUGUGCGCUGGGAUACCGGGAGAGGCUUGAAACAGGAAGUGGGAUGUGGAGAGAGCUAAGGGGAAUCCAGAAGAAAAGGUAGACUCAAGAUGAGGAGAAGACUUUUCCAGGUAGCAGGAACAGCUGCCUGGACACUCAGAAAUGCCUGGGUGGGACGUGCAUAGGAAACCCUUUCCAUCCGGGCAAAGACAACGUGAAGAUGUGUUUAUGAAUGGGAUAACAACCACUGUCAUAAAUGGGACCAAGGAAGACAGAGGCAAACACAAAAUGUACCUUCAGUGAGAUUUGGGAGAAGGGACGUGAGGAAGGGUCUCAUGCCUCUUCCACAAGCUUUCCAUCUAAAAAUUCCUUCUCAUUUAGAGAUGAGCUUUAAUCUGUAAAUUCUCCUGGGAAUAUUAUGCCUGUCUUAACUCUCACACUAACGAAUCCGCAUCAAUAUUUUCCCUUUGGUGAGUAAUAGGUAGGGCCUUGAGUACUUAAAAGGAAGUGUCUGCAGAUAUGAGAAAAUGCUGCCAAAAAGGAAGGCUUAGCAUCUUAAAAUCAAAUUUCUUGCUCCUAAAUUUUUUUGGAAAUUUGUCAUAGCUUUUAUCUGAAAUGGCUUGAAUCACAACUGCGCUCUGGAAAAUGGUCUUUUAUUUUCCUUGUUUUGGAUUUGUAGUUUCUUAAAUACUGUACGGUCUUGACCGUCUACCACCUUCCUUUCGUUGUUCAAUGUCCUCUCUUUGCUCUCAAACUCUUUUGUAAACUAUUUUAAGCUGUCCCAUUUCUGCUCCUGAAUUUCCCCUUUGAUUCCCGCUGGUCGUGUUUAUUUAUUGGCUCACAGUGAUUGCUUCCUUUCUCAGGUCUGGAAGGGCAUAACUGUGCUCAGGUAUGACUCUGACCCUUAAAAAACAUGAAUACAAGACAUAAGUAUCAUUGAGUUGGUGACUGCAUCUAUUAAAAAUAUUUUGAUCACCC
ensembl:lncRNA